rnacentral:lncRNA from 1 species
AUGUGGGGCACAGUCGUGUGUCCCUGUGCCCUCCUGCCUGUCCCUGUGUGUGUCCCUGUGCCCUCCUGCCUGUCCCUGUGUGUGUCCCUGUGCUCACUCCUCUGUCCUCGUGCAACCCCUGGCACCCUUGGGCACCACUGUCCAUGCACGUGCAGCCCAGUGCAGCCCUGUGUGUCACUGUGCACCCUCGUGCAGCAUUGCCCUGUGCAUUCUUGUGCAUCCCCCUGCACACCUGUGCAUCCUCCUGCAUCCUUCUACAUGCCUGUGCAUCCUCCUGGAUCACAGUGCAUCCUCCUGCAUUCCAAUGCAUCCUCCUGCAUCCUUGUGCAUCCUCCUGCAUCUUUGUGCAUGCCUGUGCUUGCUCAUGGAUCACAGCACCUUCUCAUGCAGCCCUGUGCAUCCUCCUGCAUUCCAAUGCAUCCUCCUGCACCCCUGUGCAUCCUCCUGCAUUCCAAUGUAUCCCCAUGCACACUUCUGUAUUCUCCUGCAUCCUUGUGCAUCCCUGUGCAUCCUCCUGCAUUCCAGUGCAUCCUCAUGGAUCCCUGUGCAUCCUCCUGCAUCCUCCUGCAUUCCAGUGCAUCCUCCUGCAUCCUUGUGCAUCUCUGUGCAUCCUCCUGCAUUCCAGUGCAUCCUCAUGGAUCCCUGUGCAUCCUCCUGCAUUCCAGUGCAUCCUCCUGCAUUCCAAUGCCUCGUCCUGCAUCCCUGUGCAUUCCUGUGCUUGCUUAUGCAUUCCAGUGCAUCCUCCUGCAUCCCUGUGCAUCCUCUUGCAUCCCUGUGCACACUUGUGUAUCCUCCUGCAUCUCUGUGCAUCCUCCUCCAUCCCAAUGCAUCCUCCUUAAUUCCAAUGCAUCCCUGUGCAUCCUUGUGCAUUCCAAUGCAUCAUCCCGCAUUCCAGUGCAUCCUCCUGCAUCCUUGGGCAUCCCUGUGCAUCCUCCUGCAUCCCUGUGCAUCCUCCUGCAUCCAGUGCAUCCUGCAUCCCUGUGCAUCCCUUGCAUUCCAAUGACCUCGUCCUGCAUCCCUGUGCAUUCCUGUGCCUUGGACCUUAUGCAUCCCUGUGCAUCCCCCCUGCAUCCUUGUGCAUCCUCCUGCACUCCAGUGCAUCCUCCUGCAUCCUUGUGCAUCCUCCUGCAUUCCAGUGCAUCCUCCUGCAUCCCUGUGCAUCCUCCUGCAUUCCAAUGCACCUCCAUGCUUCCCCCCCCCCUGUGCAUCCUCCUGCAUCCCUGUGCUCUCUCCUGCCUCACUGCACCCGCGGUGCCCCCAUGCAGUGCCCCAGCCCCCCAGCCCCUCUCUCUCUCUCUCUCUCUCUCUCUGCAGUGCUCUGCCCGACCUGACGCGGUGCUGCCCCCACACUCCCACCCCGGCGCCUCCAAAACGGGGCCAAACCCCAGGAAAAAGGGUCACCCCCCCGUGGCUGCCCCACCCUGCACUUCCCCCUUUGCACAGCUGGGAAUAAAGAAUUCCUUACAUUAA